ensembl:snRNA U6 U6 spliceosomal RNA
AAAUGAUUCUAUCAGACAGCAUUUCUUAAAAAUAAUUAGAACAACACAGAGAAGAUUAGUAUGGCCCCUACACAAGGAUAACAGGCAAAUUCGUAAAGCAGUCCAUAUUAAA